GAUCGAACUAUUCAGGUUUGCACGCACCUUCAGAUGGGAGUGAAACAGGCAAUGUGACCGAGGAAAUUAACCUGCACUGACCACACCAUGCUCAGUUGCUACAGUUACAUAAUUUGAGGCUCAUUUUUGUCUUCAUAAGCCUGGCCAGAUGAGGUGAAGAGCUGCACAUCAGAAUGAGCAGCAGAGCCCAGUGGAAAGAAGAUAGGUAUUCUACUUGCAGCCCUCAGUACAAAUGCUACCCACAGCUCAUAUCACCAUGCAGGAAGCAAGCGGCCGUAUCACAUCCACCCAUCCACACGACAUUCCCAGCGCCAACUGUCUGUGACGACACUGCCAAACGAGGUGGGGGGAUGACGGGAGACCAUGAGCACUCCCAUUUACGACACCAGAAACGUGUACCAUUUCAUACCAUGAGCACAGUUUGUACUGAUAGAAUAUCUUUGGUCUAUUCUUCUGUCCUCCUUCAUCUCCCAGCCUGUAUUUCUCCUCGCUCUGUGUGCUGUGUCUGUAGUGAGUGUUUGCUUGCAGCUUCAGUCCAGUCCACUAGGUUCCCCAGUGUUCUCUGUCACUGCACACCUGUUCCCUGUCUGCAGUCAACCCAGCCCUGUGCCUCCCUGCAGCAGCUGUUCCUCAUCACUAAUCAGCCUUCAGCAGUACAGACCAGUCACUUACACAGGAGUCUCUCUGUCAGAUUGUCUAGUGAGUGUCUUAGCUUUCUCAUGUUCCAUGGCCUUGUACCUGUCUGUGGUUACCUGAACCCUCCUCUGCUUGACCUAUGCCUGGCCAGCCUGCCUGCCACUUGCUUUACUCUCAGUAAAGUAUUUUACGCACACCUCUGUGUGUCAGCAAUUGGGUCU